rnacentral:rRNA from 1 species
ACGGGUGCGUAACGCGUGGGAAUCUGCCCUUUGGUUCGGAAUAACAGUUGGAAACGACUGCUAAUACCGGAUGAUGACGAAAGUCCAAAGAUUUAUCGCCAAAGGAUGAGCCCGCGUAGGAUUAGCUAGUUGGUGUGGUAAAGGCGCACCAAGGCGACGAUCCUUAGCUGGUCUGAGAGGAUGAUCAGCCACACUGGGACUGAGACACGGCCCAGACUCCUACGGGAGGCAGCAGUGGGGAAUAUUGGACAAUGGGCGAAAGCCUGAUCCAGCAAUGCCGCGUGAGUGAUGAAGGCCUUAGGGUUGUAAAGCUCUUUUACCCGGGAUGAUAAUGACAGUACCGGGAGAAUAAGCUCCGGCUAACUCCGUGCCAGCAGCCGCGGUAAUACGGAGGGAGCUAGCGUUGUUCGGAAUUACUGGGCGUAAAGCGCACGUAGGCGGCUUUGUAAGUUAGAGGUGAAAGCCUGGAGCUCAACUCCAGAACUGCCUUUAAGACUGCAUCGCUUGAAUCCAGGAGAGGUGAGUGGAAUUCCGAGU